GGAACGUGCCCAGUAGCGGGGGAUAACUACGCGAAAGCGUAGCUAAUACCGCAUACGCCCUACGGGGGAAAGCAGGGGAUCGCAAGACCUUGCACUAUUGGAGCGGCCGAUAUCGGAUUAGCUAGUUGGUGGGGUAACGGCUCACCAAGGCGACGAUCCGUAGCUGGUUUGAGAGGACGACCAGCCACACUGGGACUGAGACACGGCCCAGACUCCUACGGGAGGCAGCAGUGGGGAAUUUUGGACAAUGGGGGAAACCCUGAUCCAGCCAUCCCGCGUGUGCGAUGAAGGCCUUCGGGUUGUAAAGCACUUUUGGCAGGAAAGAAACGUCGCGGGUUAAUACCUCGCGAAACUGACGGUACCUGCAGAAUAAGCACCGGCUAACUACGUGCCAGCAGCCGCGGUAAUACGUAGGGUGCAAGCGUUAAUCGGAAUUACUGGGCGUAAAGCGUGCGCAGGCGGUUCGGAAAGAAAGAUGUGAAAUCCCAGAGCUUAACUUUGGAACUGCAUUUUCAACUACCGGGCUAGAGUGUGUCAGAGGGAGGUGGAAUUCCAGUGUCCCAAU
rnacentral:rRNA from 1 species